UACGAAGGGGGCUAGCGUUGUUCGGAAUUACUGGGCGUAAAGCGCGUGUAGGCGGUUGUUCAAGUCAGGUGUGAAAGCCUUGAGCUCAACUCAAGAAAUGCACUUGAUAUUGGAUGACUAGAGGACCGGAGAGGAUAGUGGAAUUCCCAGUGUAGUGGUGAAAUACGUAGAUAUCGUCUGGAACGCCAAAGGUGAAAACAGUCUGCUGGGGACUUGCUGACGCUGAGACACGAAAGCCAGGGGAGCGAACGGG
rnacentral:rRNA from 1 species